CAGUGUGAGGACAAUCAGGCUAUGACAUCUGUCACCCCACUGAUUACCAGAGUUGACUUGGCUGAUCUCGCUGGCUGGCAAGCAUCCCCUUAUUCCCUCACUGCUCCAUUCACAUCUCUCCUGAAGAGAACUUUUAGUUGAAGAGUACUGUCACCCCUGAUAGAGGAGGACCACUUCCUCAGUCAAGUGGAGAGGGGUAGCUGAGGUCCCCUGCUCGAACGUCCGAACAAGCUUUCAUUAGAAAAAUGUGAUAUGGAUAUUUGCUACCUCUGAAUGAGGACCUGAGAAAGCUACAUUAGUGCAAUCCUGUUAACCAAGAAAAGAGACUU
rnacentral:snRNA from 1 species